AGGAAACCUGGAGCUUUGGAAUAACUGAUUUUCAUCCAAACUUAAGUUGAUAAUCAUUCUAGGACUUUAGCUAUUGGAGCUGGGGUGGAGGGGGUACUGAGGGACAGGGGGAUAGACAGAGACCAGACUGGGGAGUGUCCCUGUCAUCUGUGAGCACCAGGCCGCUAUCCCUGAGCUCAGCACUGCCCUCCUACAGGUCAAGGAGCUGGGCGUGGUCAUGUACAACUGCAGCUGCCUGGCUCGAGACCUGACCAAGAUCUUUGAGGCCUACUGGUUCCUGGGCCAGGCAGGCAGCUCCAUCCCAUCAACUUGGCCCCGGUUCUAUGACACCCGCUACAACCAAGAGACACCAAUGGAGAUCUGCCUCAAUGGAACCCCUGCUCUGGCCUACCUGGCGAGUGCGCCCCCACCCCUGUGUCCAAGUGGCCGCACUCCAGACCUGAAGGCUCUACUCAACGUGGUGGACAAUGCCCGGAGUUUCAUCUACGUCGCUGUCAUGAACUACCUGCCCACUCUGGAGUUCUCCCACCCUCACAGGUACUGCUGGGUGUGGAGAUAGGGAGCCGCUGCAGUUGGCCAGGAGACGGGAGAGGGAAUCAUGGAGACCAGAAAGCUGGUGGGGGCUCCAGGCAAGGGGACAGAUGGAAGAGAAGCCGCAGGGAGAGACAGUCACCAGGAGGUGACCGGAAGAAGGUAUCUAGGCACUUGAGACAGGAGAAAGAGAGAUUAUG
rnacentral:sRNA from 1 species